UGCACAGUUGUCACCAGGAACAAAAGGCUGCCCGGUCCCCACGAGUGGCGCGUCUCAGAGAAUAUUCUUCUCGAGUGGAUGAGAUCUCAAGGGAAGCUUCUCGAUCUGGAUACUCUAUUUCUGGCAGACAAAGAAGGUUGCCGGGAUAUGGGAAGCUCUGCAUAUGAAAAUAAUGUCAGCCGCCUCUGGAGGGAAGGUUCUGGUCACAGUGGCCUGGGAAACAUUUCGUGACAGAGAGCUGGACUUGAUGGGGGAGAGGAACUGAAAGGACAGGCUGGGUUUGCUACUACCAGACAGAAUCCACCCGCCUGGAAGGAAGGAGCAUUCUCCUCUCCUUGUUCUGUCUGACAAAUGAAAAAGACUGCCUAAGGUCAAGAACUCUUCCCUCUCUACUAGAUCAUGGUUUAAUCUUAACCAAGGGGGUGGGGGAUGGGGAAGAAAUGACAAACUGCAGGUGACAAAAAGGUAAG